CCUACGGGGGGCAGCAGUGGGGAAUAUUGGGCAAUGGGCGCAAGCCUGACCCAGCAACGCCGCGUGAAGGAAGAAGGCUUUCGGGUUGUAAACUUCUUUUGUCAGGGAAGAGUAGAAGACGGUACCUGACGAAUAAGCCACGGCUAACUACGUGCCAGCAGCCGCGGUAAUACGUAGGUGGCAAGCGUUGUCCGGAUUUACGGGGUGUAAAGGGCGUGUAGCCGGGUUGACAAGUCAGAUGUGAAAUCCUGCGGCUUAACCGGAGAACUGCAUUUGAAACUGUUGAUCUUGAGUACUGGAGAGGCAGAUGGAAUUCCUAGUGUAGCGGUGAAAUGCGUAGAUAUUAGGAGGAACAUUAGUGGCGAAGGCGGUCUGCUGGACAGCAACUGACGGUGAGGCGCGAAAGCGUGGGGAGCAAACAGGAUUAGAUACCCUAGUAGUC
rnacentral:rRNA from 1 species